UGAUUUCGGAUGCUCUCCUCAGUCACUCUCCUUAGUUUUUGAGACAGGGUCUCUUUGGAGCUCAGCAGUUUGACUGGAGUGGCUGUCCAGGGAGCCUCUGUUUCUGCUUUGCCGGCACCGAGUUUGCAAAUGUUUACCAUGGACCAGGCUUUUAUGUGAGCUCUAUGAGGAUCCUGAUUUGAGCCCUCCUCUCUGCAUGAUAUUACUUGGAUUCGAGCAUGGAGGGAGGCCUUGCUCAGAGCAGCGCUGAGACGUUGAAGACAGGGCUUGUGGCAGAAGACAGCACAUCCCUGAGCAAGGCCCAUGGUGACCUGCAGGUUCAGAACAAACUGCAUGGCUCACCUGUGCGGGUGACAUGCUAGGUUCAGACUCUGGUCACCAGGACCCAGCAGUGGCCAGCACCUGACUGACAAAGAGCGAGCACACAGAUGUCACCUGGAAUACGUGGACACAUAUGCUUGCUGGCUCAAAUUAGCUAAAUCUCAUAAACACUGAAUUUAUGUCUCAAAUUGUUCGAGAGACACAGAAUAUGCAUCUCCAAACCUGUGUUUGCAGAAA